rnacentral:tRNA from 1 species
GCCGAAGUGGCGGAACUGGCAGACGCGCACGGUUCAGAGCCGUGUGGGAGAAAUCUUGUGGGGGUUCGAAUCCCCCCUUCGGCA